GACGAACGCUGGCGGCGUGCUUAACACAUGCAAGUCGAACGGAAAGGCCCUGCUUGCAGGGUACUCGAGUGGCGAACGGGUGAGUAACACGUGGGUGAUCUGCCCUGCACUUCGGGAUAAGCCUGGGAAACUGGGUCUAAUACCGGAUAGGAGCCAUUUUUAGUGUGAUGGUUGGAAAGUUUUUUCGGUGUAGGAUGAGCUCGCGGCCUAUCAGCUUGUUGGUGGGGUCAUGGCCUACCAAGGCGGCGACGGGUAGCCGGCCUGAGGGGGUGGACGGCCACAUUGGGACUGAGAUGCGGCCCAGACUCCUACGGGAGGCAGCAGUGGGGAAUCUUGCACCAUGGGCGCCAGCCUGAUGCAGCGACGCCGCGUGGGGGAUGACGGCCUUCGGGUUGUAAACUCCUUUCGCUAGGGACGAAGCUUUUUGUGACGGUACCUAGAUAAGAAGCACCGGCUAACUACGUG
rnacentral:rRNA from 1 species